CAGUGUCCUUGCUUGUGUGACUGAGUUGGAAAUGGAAGCCCUGAUGGCAACGUCUCCCCUUGCCAGNACCCUGCACGCAAUCAAGCAGCAUCUGGAGGCAUCCCAGAGGCCUCCUCACUUCCUUACGUCUCCAGGGGGAAAUGGAGAUGAUGGCUCUUUUCCAUCAGAGACAAGUCCCAAUACCUUGGUCCCUACUGACUUAGCCAGCCUGUCUCCUCGUCAUUUUGUGGUUUACCGCUUUGGCUGCACUGUGGCACACCUGCUUGGGAAGGCCUUUUCUAUCCCAUCAUUGGUACUUCUGUUAGCAGAAGCCAUCCCCAAGCAAGGCCCNGCAGGACACCAGGGUUCAAGAGAGUGCUACUAUGAUGCUAACAACAGGUUCCUCUACAUACUNUCAUCACACCUUGAGAAUGUUGGAGGAUUUGUGGCAGAAUUGCUGAAUGCCAUGGCCCAUAUAAAAGCAGGAUGUAAAGAAGCUAUCCUUCCAAAUGUUGGUUUUUGGAAAGAGCUCAACACAGCGAUUGAAAUUCUAGCUGAUGCCUUUUUCCAGAGUUCUUGGGGAGCAGCAGAGAUGGCAGAGAAGAAUCUUCUGAAAAACUAUUCACCUAUUUGCUUAGCCACUCGGACUAUUUUUGAAGAACUAUUGAGUAUCCAAAUGUGGCCGGACUCUAA
ensembl:lncRNA